CACCUCCCUGGGAGCCCCGAACUGCCCCUGAUGGGUCCCGCACCGCCCCGAGCGCCCCGCGCCGCCUCUUCUCACGGUCCUGGGAAUCGCUGUUCGUGCACAUCCCUACGGACAGGGCGAGCGCUCGCCCACACACGCCCCGCGUGUACCUGCGGCGGGGCCGGCACCGAAGAUUUAUGACACGUAUAUCCAUAUCCCAAAGCCUGUCCUAAUACACGUACAGAUAAAUGCGUGUUUGUUUUGCACGUGUGUCUCAUAUAUGCGGGUUCUGCCUAUGCAAUGCAUGGAAUUUAUAUGUCUGUACAGACCAAUAGGUACAUGUGUCACGGUGUUACACCUAUGUACAUCGGCGCCUGUGCUUUCCAUUGCAGUACACGUACACCUGUGUGUGUGUGAGGUUCCCCCCGCCCGUGGGGCCGGGCUGCUCCGCUCCGCUCCUGGGGCGGGGCCCGUUCCCUAUUCCUGGUUCCCGGUUCCCCGUUCCUGGUUCCCGGUUCCUGGCUCCCAUCCAGCCGCCUUCGCGGGAUCACCUGGCCCUGGGGGACGACGAACCCAUGGCCAGGAAGGAGCCGCUGCUCAGCGCCCUUAAAGGAGGGGUGCUGCGGCUGCGGGAGGGCGGGGGUCCCUGCACGGACACCUCGCCGCACCUCGUGUCCCUCUGCCAGCUGCUGGAGAGCAUCCUGCGCAAGGGGCUCCGACAACCGGCCUGGGGCUUCCGCAGGCGGGAUUACUGGCACUGGCUGGAGCAGCUCCCCGCGGGGACCAGCGGCGGGCCUGUCCCUCUGUCCGCCAGCAUCCGGAGAGCCGCGGGCUGCGGGCGGACGCGGACGGCGCAGGGCCGCGGGCGAUGCUUUCUGCGCUCUGCCCUGCAGGGCAAGGUGCUGGCGGUGGCCGUGGGGCAGCUGGCACAGAGCCCCCGACUCCUGGAGUUUUAUGAUCCAGGGAGCUCCAUCCUCGGCAGUGAAGAUCUCCGGGAGCCUUUCCUCUCGCUGCUGCUGGUGCUGACAGAGAUAGAUUUCUCCCUGGACCUGCAGAAUUGCAGCUUCUUGGACGAGAGCUGGCUGCUGCCGGUGUGCAGUACUUACGAGACAGUCCCGUGCCGAGCACUGGGGAUGGUGCUCAGGUACGUGGACGGCCGAGUCUUUGUCACCAAGGUGCUCCCCGAGAGCCAGGCAGAGGUGGACGAGGUGGUGCUGGCCGGUGACAUCCUCGAUGAGAUCAACGGCUGCUCGCUGAGAUACGCCUCCCCCGGGCAGGUGGGUGGGGACAGAGGGCUUCUGUCCCCCUCUUCUGCCCCCUGCUCCCCUCUGCUCCUUCCUCCCUCUAGGCUGGGGCUGUGCUGCAGAGGCUGAAGGGACAACCGCUCACCUUGCGCCUGCUGCGCUGGCGGUGGCACCAGGGGACAGUCUUUGAGCCGCUGCUGCCCUACCUGAAGGCCCUGAAGGAGAAGGAGCCCCAGUUCCAGCUGCAGCACAGCCCCCGGCACAGGGGCGAGGGGGAGCCCCGGCAGCUGCAGGGGGGCAGGUGGGUCUGUGCCAUGGGCAGCCCCCGGGCUGGGCUGAGGGUCCUGGCACUGGGGUGGCACUGUGCCCACACUGUCCCUGAUCUCUGCUCCAGGCUGUGGGGGCAAGGCUGCCCCCAUGGCCUGGAGGUGAGGAGGGGGCUGGGAGCAUCUUCCCCUGCAAAGAGCAGCAGGAGGGAUGUGUGGGGUCCUUCCUCUGAUGCCCCCCGAGCCCUUUUCUCCCCAGGCUGCUCUACAACCUGCUGUUCCUGGGCCAGACCAGCGUUGGGACGGUGAGGCCGUGGGGCAGAGACCUGCCAGGGCGUGAAUCAUCUCUUCUGGGGUUCUUUUCAUGUGUCCAAGGGUUAUUCCCUCCUUCCCAUUCCAUUUCAGUAUGGUGGCAAAGAGGUGCUGGAGGGGGCCAUCCCUGCCGUGCUGGAGAGGAACUUGGCAGCACGGGUGAGCAGCAGGGCUGGGGACAUCCUGGGAAGGGCUCUGUCAGAGGAUGCAGGCCAUGGAUAUUUUUUUUCCAGCUCCAGGUUCACUUGGCUUGGCUGAAUAUUUGCCACCCCAUCACCCCUGUGGGGUUUUUUCAGGUCAGAAGCAUCUCAGCAGCCAGGAUAGGAAAGGGCAUUAAGGAAAAAAUGCAACAGCAUGCAGGAAAGCACUUGGAAAACUCUGGGAAGGCUAAGCCUGAUUCUGGGGGUGCUUUAGGGCUCAGGUCACUGCUGUUUGAGCCUCUGGGGAUUGUUUGUGAAAAGAUUUAAGUGUGGAAGCACUGGGUGGUGGGGAAAAAAGGGCAGCAGAGAGAAAAUUUGAAAAAGCUGAGGCUGACUGUGCUUCAUCGCCUCUGCAUUUGGAUAAUCUCUGGUGAGUGUCUGAUUAAAAACAGAGCUCAGGGCUGUGCUGAUCGGGGCUUCUCCCCCCUCAUCCCCCCUGCAGGAGGUUUUAUUUGAUGUGAAGGAGGCAGAAGUCCUUGUGCAGGAGAAGGCUUCUUCCAAGGUGAGUGAGCGACAUCCAAGGUCAGGGAACCUGGUGGCAUGGGGAGCCCAGCUGGAGGCACCCUGGGGACAGGAUAAACCAGGAACGGGGCCGACAGGGCCUGACCACAGCGUCCCCUUCCCGUCCCCUGCACAGCUCCUGCGCCGCCAUCCCUACCCCUCCAUCUCCUGCGUGGGACGCUGCCCGCGGAGCCCCAGGAUCUUCGCCUUCUGCGUGCUGUGAGCGCUGCCCGCGGGCCCUGGCAGGGCCACAGGGGGAUGUGGCUCUGGGAAAAUGAGCAAGCCAGGUCCAGAGCAGCCACAGGGAGCCUGGUGCAGGGGGAGGCAGGGCUGGGCUCGGAGCUCUGCUGGAGAAUGGACGCGUUUCCAUUUUUAGCUCUUCCCCCGAGAGCCCUGACGGGAGCACGUUUGACUGCCUGGUGUUUGCAUCCAGUUCUGAGCAAGAAUGCGAGGAAAUCAUCGGCAGGAUCGCUGCAGGGUUUAAGCACACAGAGUGGUUUGUCUGAGCAAGGAGCACACCAAGGCACCGCCGUCCCAGCAGCAAACGAGGGGUGCAGGCCCUGCCUCCCAGAGGGACUGGGGAUGGAUUCCAUGCUCUUCCUCACCAUCGUGGCGGGAGAGCACGGACAGCCAGCUCCAGUUCACUCGAGGCUGGUGGGAACUGCUGCUGCUCUUCCCCCAGAACAGCACAACGCUUCCUUCCACUGGAAUAAAUCAAGCCAGGCCGGCUCAACCACUUCCCUGUGCUGCUUUCUGUGACAGCUCUAGCCUCACCUGCAGAGCCUGUUCUGUCUCGGUGUUGAUCACCCUGGGGCAGCUGCAGCCUGAGCACUCCUCCAGCCCAGCCCAGCCGGGCCUGGCAGCUGAGGAACCCAGAGCAGCCUAAAGCCAAGCCUUGAGUUCCAUCACCUUCCAUCCAAAAUCCUGGAUGGGAAAUGAGAAUCCCAGAGCACCCAGCCGUGUGCUCAGCAGCCCCUGUGCUGCCAGGGUGUAAAAUCAGCUGUGCCCCGUGCAGAUCCAGGACUGCACAGCCCAAUCCCAUGGGAACGCUCCCCCCGCUGCUCGGGAACAGCCAGGUGGGUUUGCUUCAGCCAGACCAGUCUUAACUCCAAAAUAAACUUUCCCUGCAUCCACGGGAAAGGAAGAAAGAACUGCAGAGCUCAGCUUGUGCCCUGAUUAGAGAAAAGCCCCCCAAAAAGCCACUGCAGCCUCGGCCAGACCCCCUGGACCCUACACAGCUGUAGGGAUCUGCUCCCUCUGGCCACAGCAAGGACUCAAGCAGCUCAAACUCUCCAAAACACU